GUCGAGAAUCUUUCACAAUGGGGGAAACCCUGAUGGAGCGACGCCGCGUGGAGGAUGAAGGUCUUCGGAUUGUAAACUCCUGUCAUGAGGGAACAAAGCCCGCGAGGGUGUGAUAGUACUUCAAGAGGAAGGGACGGCUAACUUCGUGCCAGCAGCCGCGGUAAUACGAAGGUCCCAAGCGUUGUUCGGAAUUACUGGGCGUAAAGGGAGCGUAGGCGGCGCGGAAAGUCAGAUGUGAAAUCCCGGGGCUCAACCCCGUAACUGCAUCCGAUACUUCCGUGCUUGAGGACUGGAGAGGAGUCUGGAAUUCACGGUGUAGCAGUGAAAUGCGUAGAUAUCGUGAGGAACACUAGUGGCGAAGGCGAGACUCUGGACAGUUCCUGACGCUGAGGCUCGAAGGCCAGGGGAGCGAAGGGGAUUAGAAACCCGAGUAGUCC
rnacentral:rRNA from 1 species